rnacentral:lncRNA from 1 species
UAGAACUGAGGCUGAUACUAUUGCUUCUUUAAAUGUCAAGAAGCUCUUGUUUGCUAAUUCACUCCAUCUAAAUUGAUCUUUUUUUAACAAGUCUGUCAUGGGAGCUGCCAAAUGAGAGUAAUUUUUAACAAAUUUUCUAUAAUACCCUGAAAGUCCUAGAAAUCCCCUCAAGGUUUUAAUAUUCUUUGGUAUUGGCCAGUUGACAAUGGCAGAGAUAUUCUCUGGGUCAGGAUUAACUCCAUUCCCUGAUAUUAUGUGCCCCAAAAAUUGUAGUUCAUUCUGAAAAAAUAGGCACUUAGAUUGUUUUGCAUAGAACUGAUUUUUUCUAAGUGUGUCCAGAACUGUCCUCAGAUGGAUCAAAUGGUCCUCUCUGGAAGAACUGAAAAUAAGAAUGUCAUCAAAGAAGAUUAGUACAAAUUUUCUUAAAAAUGGAGAAAAUAAUCUGUUCAUAGUAGCUUGAAAAGUUGUCGAGGCAUUAGUAAGCCCAAAAGGCAUCACUAGGAACUCAUAAUGUCCCUGAUGAGUUCUGAAAGCUGUUUUCUCCACAUCAUUUGGAUUUAUCAAUAUUUGAUGGUAACCCCAUCUAAGGUCCAAUUUUGAGAAUAUUUUACUCCCUUUUAAUUCAGCCAGAAUUUCAUUCACUGUUGGUAUAGGGAAUUUAUCUUUGAUAGUUAUUUUAUUUAAGGCCCUAUAAUCCACACACAGCCUCCAACUACCAUCUUUUUUUUACAAGUAGAACUGGGGAAGAGUAGGGGUUGCUGCUCUCCCUAAUUAUCUGCUGCCUUAACAUCUCUUGGACUAUCCUUUCAAUUUCAUCCUUUUGGAACUGUGCCUGCCUAUAAGGUCUAACACUGACCAGAUCAGCUAGAUUUUCAAGUGUGAUGUUGUAGAAUUGUGACCUUGCUGGUGGUAAUCCUGUUGGCUCAGUGAACACAUCACAAAACUCAUUUAGAAUGGGGUUCAGUUCUCCUUCCUGAAUUUCAGAAUUACUGAAUUUUUUUUGUUCUUCCUCUUUUAAUUCCCCAACAUAUUCAAAUCUGCAAAAGAAAGCCCCUGCAGUUGUUGUAGCCAAUGAAUUCAUCUCAUUCUUUGAUAAUUGUUCAUCAGAUAGUAUUGAUUCCCCCAUCCAUUUAAUUCUUUCACCGUUCCAAUUAAAUUCAAUGUUCAUGUCAGUAUAGUUGGAUAGGAUUGACCCAACAAUUUUGAACCAUUGAAUUCCUAAAACCAAGUUGGCCCCCUCCAUGUUUAACACAAACAUGUCUAUGGUCAUUGUCACCCCUUGGACAGUCAUUUUCACCAACUUACACAUCUUGUCACAUCUCAAGGAAACUCCACUGCCUGUUGACACCAAAAAUGAGGGAAUGGGUGUGAUUGGCAAUCUUAACUUCCUUGCUACUUCCUCUUGAAGAAAAUUAUGGGUUGACCCCGAAUCUAAUAAAACAAAGACCUUCAUAUUAUUAUUAUUGGCUGAAAGUUUCAGAGUUUUCUUGGACUUAGCUGUCCUUGGAGAGAGUAGUAGCUGAUGUGAGUGUGCUCAACUCUAAUUUUUUCAACUGCAUCCACAAAUUGCUUUUCCUCCUCAUUGGGUUCUGUAAAUUCAGCAAAACAUUCUCCAUCAGCUGAUAGUAGGAACAAUCUUCCUUUGCACUUAUGGCCUCUUUCUCAUUUUUCAGUGCAAUUAAAAUACUUAUUCUUUGACCUUUUAAUUCUCAUUUCAGCUGGAGUAAUUUUCUGUCUUAACAUAGGUCCUUUCUGAUAUUCAGUAGGUGGUAAUGAUAGUGCCUUCCUAUGUGGUGGAAUGUAUGGUUGCAAGGGUCCAGAUUGUUUUGAACUCCCUUCCACUGCCAAAGCUCUUGAAGUGGGCAGUAUCUCACUAUGUCAGUGGACAUAUCACUUAUUUCAUAAAGUUGGGCUAGGGCAAAUGCUUCUACUAAAUUUUCAGGCCUUGCUUUGAUGACAUCUUUCUGAAUUUUAUUUUUUAGACUAGACAUGAACAUUUCUUUCAUGACCCUUGGAUUGAUAUCAAUUACUUUGUUUGAUAAGGCUUCAAACUGAUGUUGAUAGUCUUUUACAGACCCAGUUUGCAUUAAUUUACUCAAUCUUCCUGCAGGUAUCUCAUAGGAAGAAGUCCCAAAUCUUCUGAUUAGGUCAUCAAGAAAAUCAGACCAAGAUUUGAGUUCAUUGUUGCUGUCAGCCCAUAGAAGCCACUCCAAAGCUUCUCCCUUCAUAUUAAAUGUAGCAACUGUAAUUCUCUCUUCAUCAGGUAUAUUAUGAUACCUUAAAUACUUCUUUGCUUUGUAUAUCCAGCCUUGCACAUUUUCUCCAUCGAAUUUGGGCAUUUCUGUUCUGAAUUUGUGAAUCUGAAUUACUCAUUAGCAAUAGUGUCUCACUCAUUUUGGAUAGAGUUUGUUCCAUAUUCCUCAAUCUUUCAACCUCAGUGUCUUGCUUUAUUUGUAGUCUUUUGAGUUGAACAUCCAUUGAUUCAGCCAUCACUAUUUUUUUGCGAACUGGAAUUUUUUUUUUACUGAAUAGAAACUAAAAAUAAGAUAUGGUGAUUUGAUUACGUCCCUGAUCCGGAUUUCUUAAGCAGAGAACAAGCUUUGGAGAGUUGUUUGUAAGUUUUUUUGUUGUAGGUUUUACAAAAUCUUCUUUAGCUUUUCUUCCAGAUCUAAACAAAAACAAAUGUCGUAUUCAAUAACAGUGAUUAUUAUUGAUUAGAUAGGAUUUAUACAUUCCUGUUUUGGAUCUUUUAAGCAGAGAACAUGCUUUUGAAUUGUUUUUUUUUUCCAGGAUGUAGUCUCUUUCUUCUGAAGAUCUUCAAAUGAUCCCUGGACUGUGAGCAGAAUCUAGUGGGCGAGAGGGCUUGAAAGCACCAAUGAUAGAAGGAACUUGGGGAGUUUGGUGAUAGGCGGCUGGAAAAUCCAAUGGAACAGCAGCAAGCAGCAAGACUAGAGUUGCUUCAACCCAGAUUUGUUUUUAAGAAAUUGUAAAUAAAUUGAUUACUGAAUUUAAUAAUAGAGUUUCCCUUUUAUAGGUUUCCGUUUUCAGACACCACUUAAUUAAACAGUUCCUGUGGCACAUCUGUAAUAAAACUAAAUACUAAAAUUCAACUUGAAAUCCCUUAAGUCUAGUUGACUCUUUCUUAUUUCUCGUCGACCGGCGUGUUUCCUCCGCGAUGUUCGCCGGCUCUUCCUCCGUCGCCGGC